UACGUAGGGUGCAAGCGUUGUCCGGAAUUAUUGGGCGUAAAGAGCUCGUAGGCGGUCUGUCGCGUCUGCUGUGAAAACCUAGGGCUUAACUCUGGGCGUGCAGUGGGUACGGGCAGGCUAGAGUGCGGUAGGGGAGACUGGAAUUCCUGGUGUAGCGGUGAAAUGCGCAGAUAUCGGGAGGAACACCGGUGGCGAAGGCGGUUCUCUGGGCCUUACCUGACGCUGAGGAGCGAAAGCGUGGGGAGCGAACAGG
rnacentral:rRNA from 1 species